AUGGGUGUUGGCUUCAAUAAUUCUCAUUGGUCUCAAACCAAUGAGAUGCAUUUUGAUGAUCAUGAGUUUGAGAUGGACGAAGAUGGUGAGGGCAUCGUCGAUGCACCGAAAGGAAGAGGGGGCAACUACAUCAUGGAUAAAGACAUCUUGCUAUGCAAUACUUGGUUGCAAGUGUCGAGGGAUCCCUCCAUUGGAGGGGAUCAAAGUAGAGAUACAUAUUGGCUCCGGAUGAAGGAACACUUUAAUGUACACAACAAAAGUGGAAUUGACCGCCCCGGAAGAUCUCUUCGCUCUCGGUGGUCGACAAUCAACCGAGAUUGUCAAAGGUGGGCGGCCGCACUUAAGGCGGUUGACAAGUUGACCCAAGUGGCACUAAUGAUAUAG
rnacentral:rRNA from 1 species